UGAGAUCACGAGCAGAGGGGAAGGACAGAGGGAGAAGCACACUCCCCGCUCCCGAUGUGAUGCCAUCCCAGGGACUCUGGAUUAUGACCUAAACUGAAGGCAGCUGCUUAACGGACUGAGCCACCCAGGUGCCCAAGUUUUGACUACUUUCUUGCCUUUUUUCCUCAUAUUUAUCAGUCCAGCCCUGAGGCAAGCUCUCACCCUCACCCCCAGUGUGUAGGGAACACCUUUCUAUGUAGGCCUGAUCCUUAUGAAUGUAUACUUGAAAAUAUUUUCUCUGUAACAGUCUUGCUUGGAAUGUUUCAAGAGUCCAGGCACUUGGGAAGCGGUACAUGUUUCCUGAGGGCUGCAGGCAUUUUCUUCCCUAACUUUAUUUCCAGCCUGCUUCCUUCCAGAUGAAUCUUCUGAACAUAUUCAGGCUCACACAGAGGAGGAAGCUUUCUGAGGAAAGGGCAGGCAGCCUGCAAACUCCAGCUGGCGAACUGUUUGCGGAUGCCAGCUACGUCUACGGGCUGUUUUCUCCACGGAAACAUAAAGUGACAGACACGAAAGCUCUUUGAGAAGUCCAGGAUGAUGUAGGAACAUCAGUAAUUAUUUUUAAUCAUCACAAGGGUCCUGCUCCCUGGCCUUUUUAAAAGUGGAAAGUGGACCACUGUGAACAGCCAGUUAAGUGUGGGGGACCUUCUCCAGCUGCUGAGGGCAGUUUACAAGGGAGUUGCCAGUGUGAGGGCAAGGAUUUAAGGGGGCUUGGGGUCAAGUGGUUUGAAGAACCCAGCAAAGCACCAGACUGCUGCCACUGAUUUAGUUUAGAAGUGGAUGAACUUUGAAAUGCAGAACAUCAUUUCUGCAGAAGGUCGUCAUAUUUCUUGAUGAUUUACACAGAGAAUUCUGAAACUGCUGGUUUCAUUUUAGAUCCUCCAGUGCCAAGAGAAAAUAUGCUGAUGGAGGGAAUAGUGCCUGGGUGGCUGGUGAAGACUCUGAGUGCCAGAAGAAAUGGCAGAAAUGGACUGAGUCGGUUUCAGUAACGAUGCUGAUGGAAUCCACAGGCCUUCUCCAUCCCUUCCUGGGAGACUUCACAAUUUGGAAUUUUAUAGACAAGAUUGCUUCAACUGACUUUUAUUUUCAUGCAGCCAAGCACCUCUCAGGACUGUUUGCUCAGACUGCAGAUGGGAGAUGGGAUGUAGCUUCCUUUUGGGAAGAGAUCCCGAAUAUCAUCUCCUAGCCUGGAGGCCCCACAGGAAGCCCACCUGGCUUCAAGAAGUGGCCUAAAGUCUAAUUGCAGGGAAAAAAUUAAAAAAUCUGACUCUAGGCUGCUACUUCUUAAAUAUACCCAUCUAUUCAUAUUUUAAGUUUUCAAAAGUAGUGUCAAUUUUCUCAGUAAAUUCUGUCAUUUUAAUUAAGUAGGUCAUUCGUGUCUAAGAAUAUAUGUUUUUCCUUUUUCAUUUUGAGUGAAUAAAAGAGAUGUAGGCUGUA